GACGAACGCUGGCGGCGUGCCUAAUACAUGCCAGUCGAACGCAUUUUCUUUCACCGUAGCUUGCUACACCGAAAGAAAAUGAGUGGCGAACGGGUGAGUAACACGUGGGUAACCUGCCCAUCAGCGGGGGAUAACACUUGGAAACAGGUGCUAAUACCGCAUAAUUCCAUUUACCGCAUGGUAGAUGGAUGAAAGGCGCUUUUGCGUCACUGAUGGAUGGACCCGCGGUGCAUUAGCUAGUUGGUGGGGUAACGGCCUACCAAGGCUGCGAUGCAUAGCCGACCUGAGAGGGUGAUCGGCCACACUGGGACUGAGACACGGCCCAGACUCCUACGGGAGGCAGCAGUAGGGAAUCUUCGGCAAUGGACGCAAGUCUGACCGAGCAACGCCGCGUGAGGGAAGAAGGUUUUCGGAUCGUAAAACUCUGUUGUUAGAGAAGAACAAGGAUGAGAGUGGAAAGUUCAUCCCUUGACGGUAUCUAACCAGAAAGCCACGGCUAACUACGUG
rnacentral:rRNA from 1 species